UUUUAUUUAUUUUUAUUUUUCCCUUUUCUUAGAUAUUUUCUUUAUUUACAUUUCAAAUUUUAUCCCCUUUCCUCAUUUCCACUCCCAAAACCCCCCUAUCCCCUCCCCACUCUCCAUGCUCAUCAACCCAGCCACUCCCACUUUCUGGUCCUGGCUUUCCCCUACACUGGGGGCAUUGAGCCUUCACAGGACCAAGAGCCUCUCCUCUCAUUGAUGUCCCACAGGCCAUCAAUGUGGCUGGAGUCAUGGGUCCCUCCCUGUGUACUCUUUGGUUGGUGGUUUAGUUCCUGGGAGCUCUGGGAGUACUGGUUGGUUCAUGUUGUUGUUCCUCCUAUGGGGCUGCGAACCCUUUCAGCUCCUUGGGUCCUUUCUCUAGCUCCUCCAUUGGGGACCCUGUGCUCAGUCCAAUGGAUGGCUGUGAGCCUCCACUUCUGUAUUUGUCAGGCACUGUCAGACCUUCCAAACUUUUAUGUGGACUCAGCCCCUGGUUCGUGUGGGAGUGUUCACUCCUACACACUGUCCUGCUUAGUCAGCCUCCUAUUUGGAUUUUAGUCUCUAUUUUCCAUGUACAUUUUGCUGUGGGAAAAAUGUUUAUAAACAGGAUCAAUCACAGAUCCACCAGAAGGGAUUGUCGAAUAAAUUAUUUUGGGGAUCUUUCAGUUUACUUCUUGAUGUCCAGUUUUCUGAUUGGAAGAUCCUUAGCUUUUCUCAAAUUCUCCAGAAUUUUGUGGUCUCCUGAGGGGUUAAACAAGACUGGACUGUUGAAGAUGCUAUGUUAAUGAAAGAAGCCAAUCACAAAGUACAAAUAGCAUUUGAUUCUGCUGGGAUGCUGGCUCCUGUGAUAGCCUGGGUGGGGAUGGAGUGGAGGUGGGGGUGGGGGUGGGGGUGGAGGUGGGGGUGGGGGUAUGACCAUAGGAAUAAAGAAAGGGAAAGGGAACAGGGUCUUAGAACCCCUUCCAAGGACUUCCACCCUAUGACUUUCGGAGACUGUUCAACAUGACAGUGCUCCGAAAUCGAACCUCAGAUCUCAGAGAGUUUUAGACUGUGGGACAUUUUGGAUUUUGGAGACAUUUCAUCAUUUGCUAUCACAAGAACAGAUGUAAACCUAAGAGAAAAGAUCAAAAUUUAUGCACACCCACACUGAUGUGUAAUAGUGUAUAAUUAACACUAUCACACAAUUAACACCAUAUAACCAACACUGCUGUCUGAUCGUGUACGAUUAACACCAUGAUACGUUUACCACCAUGCAACUAACAUGGAUGUGCUAAUAGUGCACCACUAACAGUCCAGGGAAACUGAAAUGGUGCAGUAUCAAGGCCGGGUAAAUGGAUCACCAUGGUCCACACUGUACAACGGUAACACCUGUAUGACCCCUUUGUGUCACUUUAGGGCGAGGCUUGGGUGUGGCAAACCUCUGGCUGACACGCCACCUUACACCUCUGUUCUUCCUAUGAAGAAUUCGUGUCUCUAGUGCAGUUUGUUCUACAGUAAAAAAAAAAAAAAAAAGCUAUCCCGUACGGUUUCUGCAUACUUCCACUGCAUGCAAUAUGCUCAACAUAUAAAAUACGUUCUAUUUAACUGUCGAGGUCAUUGACAAGGCUUCUAGUCAACAGCAAUAGAUUACUAGCAGCUAAGAUUUUGAGGGGACUCGAAGUCUAGGCAGUAGCAAGAGCAGAGAAUAGACUUUAGAGACACCUGACUGUCUGUCAUUCCUGCCACCAUUAGCUAUGAGGCAAAGACCCAACAGCACCAUUGGUUGCCCUCCGAACCAGCAUGCAGGGUGUUCUGGUCCACAUUUCUUCACAUCUGAGAUGGUGGCAGCUGGUGGGCAGAAAUGGUCAUUAUGGAAGACUUGGUGACAGUGAAUGGUGCCAAGUAAGAAAUGGAUGUGACUUCAUAAGCAGAGAUGAGUGACACCAAGGAGGAUGAGUUUGUACACUGGAUGCCACCAAAGAUAACAAUCCCACUGAGCAACUUGUCAGUGUUCAGACAGACAUACAGACAGACAGAUAGACAGACAGUGGAGCUCUAUGUUUCCAGAGAAGAAGAGGGCACACAGGCAGCAGCUGCGACAGGCUCUGCUGCACAGAGUGAACAUGCAGCCAUUAGCAACCACAUAACAGGGCUCCUCCACACUGAUCCCAGAACUGAAGAAACGAGCAAGGGAGACAUCCAACAGGAAGUGCUCCCGGAGGACAGGCCCCACAGUGACAGCUAGCCCUGCAGAAACACAUGCACGUUUCUGCUUUACCGAAAGAGUCCAACCCUCCUGUGCAGAAUGAGUGUGCGUGUUGACAGUCUGUCUGGGUGUAGGGCAGCAGAGACGCCCAGUUCAUCAGAUCCUGUAUGGCGGUAGGUGGUAACAGAUCAGGACUCUGCAGGAGCCUUCCUGCCAGAAGCAGGCAGAAUGGGCAGCCAUAAAAAUGAGAAGAAAAAUCCAAAUGAGUCCUGAAGCCAGCAAGCUCCCUCCCGGUUAGUGUCCAGGUUAGUGUCACCUCACUUCAACCACUAACACAGGUGCCCUGAAAACUCAGACCCACAUGGUGACAAAGAGACAAGAGGAGCUGCUCCAACAGCUGAGCAUCGGAGAAUCCUGCAGCUGCGCACGGGUGACAGCCGAGAAACUGUCAGCCACUCUAUACCAGUCAGUAGUCCAACCACAGAAGGAGAAGGAAAAAAGAAGACAACAUGAAGAGGAAGAGGAGGAGGAAGAAAGGGACAUCUAUCAUCCCAACUAACUACGUGGGAGUUUGGAGGCAGGAGGCUGCAAGUUCAAGGCCAGCCUGGACAACUUAACAAAUUCCUGGUUCAACAUUAAGAAACACCUAUUAAUAAAGUUCAAGUAAAUUUAAAA